UACGUAGGGGGCAAGCGUUGUCCGGAUUUAUUGGGCGUAAAGAGCGUGUAGGCGGCCAGACAGGUCCGUUGUGAAAACCCGAGGCUCAACCUCGGGCGUGCAUCCGAAACUGCUCGGCUAGAGGUAGGUAGGGGAGAUCGGAAUUCCUGGUGUAGCGGUGAAAUGCGCAGAUAUCAGGAGGAACACCGGUGGCGAAGGCGGAUCUCUGGGCCUUACCUGACGCUCAGGCGCGAAAGUGUGGGGAGCGAACAGG
rnacentral:rRNA from 1 species